rnacentral:rRNA from 1 species
CGCCGCCGCGGUAAUACAGAGGGUGCGAGCGUUAAUCGGAUUUACUGGGCGUAAAGCGUGCGUAGGCGGCUUCUUAAGUCGGAUGUGAAAUCCCUGAGCUUAACUUAGGAAUUGCAUUCGAUACUGGGAAGCUAGAGUAUGGGAGAGGAUGGUAGAAUUCCAGGUGUAGCGGUGAAAUGCGUAGAGAUCUGGAGGAAUACCGAUGGCGAAGGCAGCCAUCUGGCCUAAUACUGACGCUGAGGUACGAAAGCAUGGGGAGCAAACAGGAUUAGAUACCCCAGUAGUCCCUGUCUCUUAUACC